AUCAAUUGAGAAUGGGUCAGUGAGAAAUUUUGGGCAUGAAUUAACAGAAUUAAACUGUUUGUCAUCAAAAGGUGAGUGUACAAAAUCAGGAGUAUAUUUGCGUAAAAAAUCAUUGACCCAUGAUAUAUCUUUAAAAUGAUUUUGACGAUGUUUUGAAUUUAGUUUUCUCAUAUUUUGCCAAACAGUGGAAAUUGGUGUUAAUCUAUUAAAUUUGGAACAAAAUUCCUGCCACCCCUGUUGUCUUACUUGCUUAAUUACUAACUUUUUAACAGCUUGAACUCUUUUAAAAUUUAUGUAAUUAUCGAGAGUUGGAUUUUGUUUAAACCUAAGGUAAGCCGCUUUACUAUCAUUGACAGCUGUCGCACACCUGUUAUUCCACCAAGGUACUGCAAUAUGUUUGUGCCUCUUUGAAGUAUUUGCACCGCUAUUUGAUAAGUUCCUACGUGGAACGGAACGUUCCACAGCUGUCAAAAUAAUUUUACAGAACCUAUUGUAAUUGUUUAAGGGUUCAUUGACAUCAUACUCGAAAUCCAAAAGUAAUCGAUUAACAGUUUCAGAAUAAAGAUCCCAAUUAACGAGACGUAGGUUUAUACGAUUUAACAAAAGUUUAUUAACUUCAUCUAUAGGAGCAUGUUGUUCACCUGACGGAGUUGAUGAAGAGUUCUUUGUGUUUAUUUUAGUAAAAGUCGGCAGAUGCUGCAACGCUCAGAAUUCUUACAGAAUUUAGCUAAAUGUCCAUACCUCAAGCACCGGUAGCAUUGUUUAACUGGUGGUAUAUAUGGAGUGACAUUGUGGCGCCAACCUCCAAUAUCCAGAUAUUCAGGUAAUACAGAUGCAGCAAAAGUAAUUGUCACGGUUAGAGUUGGCUGUAACACAUAUCCAUGAGUCAAGGUAUUUUUUCUUAAAAUUCUUUUAAUAGCAAUAAUUUUCUUAGAACUCGAUAUCAUAGUAUAUAUUUUUUUAUUAGAUAUAUUUGUAGGUACAUUUCUAAUAACGCCUGUAACUUCUGUUGAAGAAGCAGGAAUACUGGCCUUAAAAUGGUAGUCAUUUAAAAAAGUUUUAUUAUUUAAAAAAGCAUUGGCUAAGUCUGGCUUUUGAAAGUAUACUCCGAUUUUGAAUUUAUUUAUAGAUCUAAGAUAAGUUACCCCUUUAUUAAAUCGUUUUAAACAGGAGGAGAGUGAGAGCAAGUCUCUGGAUCCAAUGGUUUUCUGACUAUCUGAGGAUUCUACAAAGACAACAAAUUCUGUCCCAGGGGAUUCCUCGGGAUAUCUUCUAAUAUAAUCUGUGACGUAGUAAGGUUUAUACUUAUCGGCCUUAUCAAUUUCAGAUUCUGAGUCAGUAGAAGUAUCUUCCGAAUAUAUAUCCUUGUCAUUACAAGGUUCAUGGUCUACAUCACCUGAAUCGUCAUCUUUUUUUUUCCUUUUUCUACAACUGCGCUUCCCCAUGAAUGCUAAUUAUAUUACUGUCGCUGAAUUUAGUGAAAAUAUAAUAUUUUAUUAAAUAAUAAGAAUUGAUAGAGAUAGUUUUAAUAAAUUAAUAAAAAAAAUUUAAAAAA